GAUGAACGCUGGCGGCGUGCCUAAUACAUGCAAGUCGAGCGAACAGAUGAGGAGCUUGCUCCUCUGACGUUAGCGGCGGACGGGUGAGUAACACGUGGAUAACCUACCUAUAAGACUGGGAUAACUUCGGGAAACCGGAGCUAAUACCGGAUAAUAUAUUGAACCGCAUGGUUCAAUAGUGAAAGACGGUUUUGCUGUCACUUAUAGAUGUAUCCGCGCCGCAUUAGCUAGUUGGUAAGGUAACGGCUUACCAAGGCAACGAUGCGUAGCCGACCUGAGAGGGUGAUCGGCCACACUGGAACUGAGACACGGUCCAGACUCCUACGGGAGGCAGCAGUAGGGAAUCUUCCGCAAAGGGCGAAAGCAUGACGGAGCAACGCCGCGUGAGUGAUGAAGGUCUUCGGAUCGUAAAACUCUGUUAUUAGGGAAGAACAAAUGUGUAAGUAACUAUGCACGUCUUGACGGUAACUAAUCAGAAAGCCACGGCUAACUACGUG
rnacentral:rRNA from 1 species